GGGAGGAGAGAAAGAAGAGGGAAAGGGGGGGGCCCUCAGAGGGGAGGGGGUUGGGGAGGCGGGGUCCCGGCGCUGUGCUCGCGCCCCUAGCGCGCCAGUCCCGGGGCUGCAGGGAGCGCAGCGCGCGCGGCCCGGGCCCCGGCCACCGGACGCCCUACCGGACACGACCCUCCCUGGAGCUUGGACAACUGCCCACCUCGGACAUUGCACCGGACACUGCCCCCCACAGGGCUGGACACUACAACGGACACUACUUCCCAGCUCCGGACAUUGCUGCCCGCCCCCCCCCCCCAGCCCUGGACGCUUUCCCCCUCCCCCUCCGGGGGCCCGGACCCCGAGCCCCCCGCAGGCUCUAGCAAGCGACCCCUUGCACCCUAGCGCCAGACACUGCCUCCUCCUUGUCCCCCUCUCCCUUCCCCUCCUCCCGCCGCAUCUUUCCCCCGCUGGGGUCGGAGCCCCGCCAGUUUCUCCGACCCCCUGCAGCUCGGCCGGGCUGCCCGCGCCCCCAUCCCCCGGCUGCUCGCCCGGAUGCCUCUCCCCGGGGGAUUGUGGUGGCUCCUCUGCUGCCGUCGAGGCUUUACUCUUCUGCACCGGGACUACGGGGACGGCGAGCUUAGCGGGGACGGGGACGAGGACGAGGACGAGGAGACCUUUGAGCUGCGGACCCCGAGUCCAGCGGGCGGCGGGAGGGGCCCCUUGGACGUGACGCUGACUCAGCCGGUGAGGAGCGGGCCGGUCUCAGACAGGCUGCAGAGCUGGGAGGAGACACGGAGCCUCAUCCCGGAGAAGGGGCCGCCCGAGGAGGACCCGGACGUCGUCGUGAAAGGUUGGCUGUACAGAGAGCCCCGCGGAGGAGGGGCUCGGCCCUGGUUGCCCCCGCGCCGGGCCUGGUUCGUGCUCACCCGGGACUCCCUGGACCAGUUCAGUAGCGGCGGGAAGGGGGCGCGGCGCCUCGGGAGCCUCGUGCUCACCAGCUUGUGCUCGGUGACUGGCCCCGAGCGCCGUCCCAAGGAGACCGGUCUGUGGUCAGUGACCGUGUCAGGCCGGAAGCACAGCGUCCGGCUCUGCUCCCCGCGCCAGGCCGAGGCUGAGCGCUGGGGGGUGGCCCUGCGAGAAGUGAUCGCCUCCAAGGCGCCGUUGGAGACCCCUACCCAGCUGCUGCUUCGGGACAUUCAGGAGAGUUGUGGGGACCCGGAGGCCGUGGCCCUUAUUUACCGCCGGAACCCAAUUCUGAGGCACACCAGUGGGGCCUUGUAUGCUCCACUCCUGCCCCUGCCCUACGGUGUCAGCGCCCCAGGUCCGGGCUACGCACCCUUGCGCGAGGAGGCGGUGCGGCUGUUCCUGGCGCUGCAGGCGCUAGAGGGGGCGCGGCGCCCCGGGCCCCUGAUGCAGGGUGUGCUCCAAACCUGCCGGGACCUGCCCGCGCUCCGCGACGAGCUCUUCCUGCAGCUGGCUAAGCAGACCUCGGGCCCCGCAGGGCCCCCCGGGCCCCCAGCUACCCAAGACCCCGCGGCCCUUCGGUACUGGCAGCUCCUCACCUGCAUGAGCUGCACCUUCCGGCCCGGGGGAGCUGUGCGGGGGCACCUCCUGGGGCAUCUGGAGAGGACGGAGCAGGCCCUCCCGGACACAGAACUGGCGGAAUACGCGCGCUUCAUCAGGAAAGCGCUGGGCCGGACGCGCGGCCGAGAGCUGGUGCCUUCGCUGGCAGAGAUUUCAGCGCUGAGCCAACGGCAGGAGCUCUUAUGCACCGUGCACUGUCCGGGGGCUGGUGCCUGCCCUGUGGCCAUAGACUCCCACACCACGGCGGGCGAGGUUGCUCGAGAGCUGGUGGGGCGGCUGGGCUUGGCCCGAAGCCGCAACGCAUUCGCACUGUACGAGCAGCGAGGAGCCCAGGAGCGAGCCCUGGCUGGGGGUACUCUCAUGGCCGACGUGCUCACCAGGUUUGAGAACGGUGGCCAGCGCCUUGGAGGGGGUCCCGCUUCUGCCUGGCAUCCAGUCCUCAUCUCUUCUGCAGUUUGGCGGCGGAGGAAGCCGCGCUGGACGACUCGCCGGACUCUGGUUGGGGACUAUGUCUGCGUCUUCACGGGCCCCUGCACCCUGAGGGGCUGUCUCCAGACGGUCACGAACUACCUUUCCUCUUUGAGCAGGCUCACGCUCUGCUGCUGCGCGGCCGGCCGCCCCCGCCCGACGACACGCUGCGCGCCCUGGCGGCGCUGCGUCUGCAGAGCCUGCACCGAGACUUCUCCCCGAGGGCGCCCCUGCCGCGCCUGGACCGCCUGCUGCCGCCCUCCGCCCCGCCGCGGGAGGACCUUCCCCGCCCCGUCCCCAGGCCUCCGCCCUCCGCCGCCCUGCUGGCCGGGGCGAUCUGGAGCCCCGGCCUGGCCAAGAGGCGCGCGGAGCGGACCCGGCGCGGCGGCGGCGGGGCCGGCGGCACGGCGGGAAGCGCGGCCAGCGAGGGAGGAGGUGGCGCCGGCAGGGCGGCUGCUGUGCUGGGCGGCUGGAAGCGGCUACGGGGCAUGGGCCGAGCUGAGGCCAUGGCUGCCUACCUGGCUCUGGCGGCGCAGUGUCCAGGGUUCGGCGCUGCUCGGUAUGACGUUCUGGAGCUGAGCACGGAGCCUGGUGGGGGCACUCCACAGAAGCUAUGCCUGGGCUUGGGGGCCAAGGCCAUGUCCCUCUCCCGGCCGGGUGAGACAGAGCCCGUCCACAGUGUCAGCUAUGGCCAUGUGGCCGCCUGCCAGCUAAUGGGCCCCCACACCCUGGCACUGAGGGUGGGAGAGAGCCAGCUCCUCCUGCAGAGCCCCCAGGUGGAAGAGAUCAUGCAGCUGGUGAAUGCCUACUUGCCCAAUCCCUCCCCCGAGAGGCCUUGCAGCAGCCCUUCUCCUCCAUGCCAAGACCUGCCAGACACCUCCCCUCCCAGCCAGCACCCGGGCCUGGACGAGCCCCAGGGACAGUCUGGCUGUUUGGGGCAGCUGCAGGACUGAGCCUGCCAAGAGGUCACGACCUCCCUUCUGCCUCCAGCCUGGACCUGGACUGCUCUGAGAUUUGAGGGAACCAUGGACCCUUUUGGCCCUGCAGGGACAGGGCGCACCUCACACCCACGGGCUGCAAUGGGUGCAGACAAUUUUCUAGUUUGUUUCUUAAUUUAUUUGUAGAAGAGAAGCA